ensembl:lncRNA
UAAAAGAGAAAGCAACUUUUUUCUCUCUUUUUUCCUCUGUGUGUGUGUGUGUGUGUGUAGGGCCUGUUCAUCUUCCUGAUAUAUGGGGUGUACAACACAGAGGUUCGGAGCACAGUUAAAAGGAUCAAGGAGAGAAGAAAAGCGCUACGUUUUUCAGUCAGCUGUCCAUUCCUUGUGUCCCAAAGAGCCUAAAGGAUUCCCACAGUCAUGCUACAGGUGUCUUGAUCCCCAGAAUGGAGAGGAAGAGUGGAAGAGCAUUCCGGUGCGAGACGGUCAUGUCAUCCAACAUCUGAGAAACCUGGGGCUCAGUGAUACUUAUGCACACACACAAACUCAAGUACAUAUCGUAUACAUAUAUGCACGCUCGCACAGACACAAACACUUAUAAUUGAGAGACCUACGUCCCGUUUCCUUGCAGUUGCCUAAUAGGAAUGGAGAUUUUUUGAUAUGUUUUAUUGCGUCACUACAGUUGGAUUCAGAUGUUUUAUUGCAAAUUAAAAAGCUGAAAGAGUUACCUCUACCUUUUCUGUGAAUGAGCAGUGUUUGCUUUUUGGAUUUGGGUGUGGCACUCUAGUGAGUAACAUGUCCUGGAGCCUGCAAGGCUUCAGUGAAUGGGUGUUGGCCAGGCAGAUAGUAUGACAGACAGGAAAGGAUCAUCCCGGGGUCACCACAACAAUUAUCACGUAGUGUCCACAAGGUAGAGAGGGUCACAGUGCCUUCAGAAAGUAUUCACACCUCUUGACUUUUUCAAGAUGAUGUUGUGUUACAGCCUGAAUUUAAAAUGGAUUAAAUUGAGAUCGUUUUUUGUCAUUGGCCUACACACAAUACCCCAUAAUGUCAAAUUGGAAUUAUGUUUUUAUUUGAUUUAUGUACAAAUUAAUAAACAAUGAAAAGCUGAAAUAUCUUCAGUUGGUAAGAAUUAAACUUUGUCAUGACAAGCUUAAAUAAAUUGAGGAGUGAAAAUUUGCUUAACCAGUCACAUAAUAAAUUGCAUGGACUAUUGUAUGCAAUAAUAGUGUUUAGCAUAAUUUUUAACAACUAACUUGACAGAGCUUGAAGAGUUUUAAAAAUAAUCAUGUGAAAAUAUUGAACAAUCCAGGUGUGCAAAGUUCUUAGACUUACCCAGAAAGACUCACAGCUGUAAUCACUGCCAAGGGUGAUUCUAACAUGUUGACUCAGGGUGUUGAAUACUUAUCUAAUCAAGAUAUAUUACCUUGCAAAGUACAAACAAUAUAAAAAAUGUCAAUUAAAUCCAUUUUAAUCCCACUUUGUAACACAACAAAAUGUGGAAAAGUAAAGGGGUGUGAAUAGUUUCUGAAAGUACUGUAGCAUUAUAUUCUCUCUCUUUCUGACACACACAGUUCUCUCUUUCUCACACACAUACACAUACCCUUUACAGCCCCUCUCCUCUCUCUCUCUCUCUCUCUGGCACAUACACAGACAACAACAACAUCCCUCCCCCCGUCUCUCUUAUGUACACACUAACACACACUAGUGAUAUGUCCACUGAGGUGACAUUUCCGGGCGGGGGGGGACAGAGGAUGACACCCGUGUCCACCCCUGCUUGAGAGGAAGUGGAUAUCAGAACACAACAGGAAAGACCGAAAAGAAAAACAAGCUGACAUCUUUUUGGACAUUAAAUCACUUCCUUUAGGGCCCUGCGACUGACCCCUUAAGCAGGUUUACCACCGAGCAUCCUCUUGCUGGGCUGGGGAUCGAUGUGUGUGCUGUCUUACUCUUUCUUUUUUGAGGGGGGGGGGGGUAGAUCAGCUUCAAUAUUGCAAAUAG